CCCCACUGUCGCUGAGAUAAGUGUCUGUUUUGCUGAGGGUUCUGUUCACGGCCCAGCUGGCUCCUGGUACAGACACCCACUUAGCUAGGGCUGGGUUUGUAGGAAAAGGUUCCUGACUAGUGGUUAUGAGGGAGACCAGGUCCCCGUUUUCAGAGGCUGCUCAGUUCUCUGGCCAGGAUCGGUAUGUCCUCUGCAGGAGAAGGUUAGAUCCAUGAGGAUGACUCCAGGGGUUGAGUUGCUUGCCUUCCUCCUGUGUUUCUCUUUCUCUUCUCUACUCUACUGUGUUGGCCAACACACAUCCUCUCUCUCUCGCUCUCUCUCCUCGUGCUGUCUCCCUUCAUAGGACACGGUCAGGAGUGCUAGAUGUGUAUCCCCACAGCCUAGGUUUCAGGAGCUAUGAAGAAGUAGGAGGGGAUGAAAAUCAUGCAGCGUAGUGGGCACUAGAGUGGAGCAGUGACUGCGGAUGCUGACUGUCUCUGUUCGAGUGGGGAUGAUGUGGAUGGGAUGGAAGAGGGAAGCAGGGAUGUGGGCAAGAUUUCAAGCACCAAUAGAGCUUUGUGUUGUGAUGGCUCAUGCUUGGCUUUUGUAGGUGCGCUUGCACAGGAAUUGUUCUUCAGGAGCCCCAGCCCGGGGAGAAACUGGCAGAAGUGGACGUGAGCAGCCUGGACAUCCUUGUAAGCAGAGAUGAAGAGUCCUCAGCUUUCUGCCUUCUCCAUGUCUGGCUUACCACAGACAAAGAAGUCAAGGGUAAGAGCCUACCCCCGUUUCGAGAUGUAAAGUGCACAAGAGCCGUGAGACAGUGAGCGUUGUUGAUGCCAGGCUAUACAGAUGCCAUCGAGCUGGGAGUGGAGCAGACGUCACCAUCAGUGAGAUAAGUGUCUGAUUUGGUGAAGACUCUGCUAACGGCCCACCUGCCUCCAGGCUGGGACUUGUCGUUAGCUGGGGCUCGGUUUGUAGGAAAAGGUUCCUGAGUAGCUGUGGUUAGGAAGGAGACAAGGUCCCCAUUUCAGGGGCUGCUCAUUUCUCUGUCCAUAAAUGGUGUGUCCUCUCUAGCAGUCAGGGCUGGCUCCAGGCACCAGCUUAUCAAGCAGGUGCUUGGGGCAGCAACUCCUGAGCAGGGCGGCACUUUGAGGUAUUCGGCGGCAAUUUGGCGAAGGGUCCCUCACUAGGAGCGAAGGACCUCCCGCUGAAUUGCCACAGAUCGCGAUCGCGGCUUUGGUUUUUUUUGUAUUUUUGGCUGCUUGUGGCAACAAAACCCCUGGAGCCGGCCCUGCUAGCAGUAGGUUGAAUCCAAGGGGAUGACUCCAGUUUCUUGCCUUCCUCCUGUGUGUUUUUCAUUUCCUCUCUCUCUUCUAAUGUGUUGGCCAACACUCUCUCCCUGUGUCUAUCUCUCUCUGUCCUUGCCUCUCCUUGUGCUGUUUCCCUUCAUAGGACAUGGGCAGUGGUGCUAGCUGUGCAUCCCCACAGGCUAGGUCUUGGGAGCUAUGAAAAAGUAGGAGGGGAUGAAAAUCAUGCUGGACAGUGGGUGCGAGAGUGGAGCGGUGACUGUCAGUGUUUACUCGGUCUGUAUUCAUUGAGUGGAUUUCACGCACCAAUAGAGCUGUAUGUAGUGAUGUCUCAUGCUUGGCUUUUGCAGCUGCGCUUCUAGAGGAAUCAUGGAGGAGCAGCAGCCGAAGGAGAAGGUGGCAGACGUGGACCUGAGCAGCUUGGGCAUUCUUCUAAGCAGAGAUGAACAGUCCUCAGCUUUCUGCCUUGCACAUAACUGGCUGUAAGUAAGCGAUACUGUAUUCAAAGCACUGAACUCCUCACUUAAAGUCACCCCGAUUAACGUUGUUACGUUGCUGAUCAAUUAGGGAACAUGCUUGUGUAACAUUGCGCAAUGCUCCCUUAUAACGUUGCUUGGCAGCUGCCUGGUUUAUCCAGUCCUUGCAGGAAGAGCAGCCCGUUUCAGCUAGCUGGUGGGGGCUUGGAACCAGGGUGGACCGGCAGCCCCCCAUCAGCUCCCCGCCCCGUCGUGUGCUUCCUCGUUGAGUACAGGACUCUGUGGUAUUAAGGCUGGGGAGUGGCCAGAGUCUGCUGUUCAGAGUGACUGUCGGGUGCUGUUGCAAAGGCUGCUUUUUGGCUGAAAUGCUAAAGGUGUCAUGGGAAGAGUGUUGAGGGCGGAGCGCCGCCGUGUGGGAGAGGUGAAAAGAAGAGCUAACGCAACGUUGCCUGCUUAGAUGGUAACUUGCUUGUUUUUCUCCUUGUGCAGGGUUUAGUACCAAGGGAAAAGAAGUCACGUAUCAGUCUACUGUCCUCAUGCGAAGGAAAGCGAGACCGACGAGACUGCGAUCAUUGUCAUAAUCAGGCAUUAGCUGUACAUCUGGGAGCGGAGCAGCUACUGCUGUCAGUGAGAUAAGUGUCUGUUCUGGCGAGAGCUCUGCUCACGGCCCACCUGGCUCCAGGUAGGGACGUCUUGUUAGUUGGGCCUGGGUUUGUAACAAAAUGUUCAUGACUAGCU